rnacentral:lncRNA from 1 species
AAAAAAUAAACAUAAUAUGAUCAUAAUAUAUGCCCAGCUUCUUACAGUAUCUUUUGUCUUCUCACCCAUUACCUUUCGGGAUUUUCGAAGACAGGAAUUUGGCUCUUUCAAAGGAGUUCCUUUGAAGCUCCUCCAAGCAACUAAUAAAAUGUCCUACAGGCAACAAGCCUGGAUUGAUACUGAACUGUGUGAACCAAAAUCUUUAAAACUAAGACCACUCACGAGGAUAAAAGCAUGUACGUGGAGAGCAUCACCGUAACACGUGGCAGAGAACUGAGUUAAAGAACCCCAUGAGAUGGGAUAUAUAUGAGUAUGAUUGAAAUGGCUGAGCUGUGGCCCAAAGAUGCCAGGUAUUGGCAGUUUAGGGCCAUUUUCAAGACUGUUUUGAAAAUUUAUUAAUCAGUCACCUUCCCUCCAGUCUCUCUGUCCUCCGGUAGUUCCUCCAUACUGUCGCUAACAUUUAGAGGUAAAUCCUGGAUGGUUUAACUUGCUAUCAGUUGCAUAAAAAAUUCCAGAAGUUUAAUGCCUUUUUAAAUCUCUUUCCAAACCACUUUCCAAAUUCUUUCAGGAUCUGUUUCCCCGUACAUAGACUACACCUACCUAGUCUUUA